rnacentral:rRNA from 1 species
GUCUACGGCCAUACCCCCUGAAUGCGCCUGAUCUCGUCUAAUCUCAGAAGCUAAGCAGAGUCAGGCCUGGUUACUACUUGGAUGGGAGAAAUAAAUAAAAAUAACCCAUUUCAGAAAAACCACGAUGGCAGCAUAGG